GCGUGCUGGGUACUGAAACGGCCGUGUGGUGCUUCCGUGGGCAUCCAGCAGCUCCUGCGGUUGUUUUUCCGUGGAUUAAUUACUUCAAAUGCAUGACUUGGCAGAGGAUUGAAACCACAUGCAGGAACUCCACUGCCAAGGACUGCCAGGACUGCAGCAUCUGCUUAUCACUGUGAUGGUCAACUCAACACAGCCAGGGACUUACAGAGACGUCUUCAUCACCACACUUUGGUUUUGUCUGCAUUUAGGAAGAAGGAGAAGAAAAUGCAGCUGCUUCCUGUGACAUCCAGCAGGAGCAAUGGCAAGUGAUGAAAGGCAGCAAGAAAUAGAGCAGAGUCAGGAUCUUUUACUUCAUAUUAGCAGCUCCAUGUCAGAUUGGGGACCUACCACUUUACCAGACCACAGACCACCACUGCUGUGAGGAAAGCAAACUGUGAUGCAAGAGCUAUUUUUUCAUUGGGCAGUUGAUCUGCAGAUAAUGACUUGGGGUUUGGUUUGUAAAGUGUUUUAUUAAA